AACGAACGCUGGCGGCAUGCCUAACACAUGCAAGUCGAGCGAGGACUUCGGUCCUAGCGGCGGACGGGUGUGUAACGCGUGGGAACGUGCCCUUUGCUUCGGCAUAGCUCUGGGAAACUGGGAGUAAUACCGGAUGAGACCUAUGGGGGAAAGAUUUAUCGGCGCAGGAGCGGCCCGCGUUGGAUUCGGUGGUUGGUGGGGUUAUGGACUCCCAAGCCGCGGAUCCAUAGGUUGUUUGAGAGGAAGAUCAGACACACUGGGACUGGGACGCGGCCCAGAAUCUUCCGGGAGGCAGGAGAGGGGGAUGUUAGACAGUGGGGGAAGCCAUGAUCGAGCCAGGCCGGGAAAGCGAUGAAGGCAUUAGGGUUGUAAAGCUCUUUCAGCUGGGAAGAUAAUGACGGUACCAGCAGAAGAAGCCCCGGCUAACUCCGUG
rnacentral:rRNA from 1 species